rnacentral:lncRNA from 1 species
UAAUAAAGAAGCCAUUCAUUUCCUUUGUUUCACAGAUCUGGUGAGGGUUUUAGUAGCACAGAGCACUUCGGUUACCUUCAUCAAUGACUGACCAUGUUCACGAGUUUGCAGGAUGGACAUCAGGCUGAGCUUUCUCUUCCUCUCAGCACCAGACAGAAGGGAUCCAGCACUACUGAGGAUGAGGAUGUUGCCCUUGGGCUCUCUGAGGACCUUUCCUCUUCUGGUCAGCAUUCAUGACGUGUCAAAACUUCUGGCUUCCCAUUCACAUCAAGAUGCUCUUCAGCCUAGAGCAGACAACUGCCACACAGCGCUGAAAAAGAGCAAAAGACCCACAACAACAACAUAUGCAAAAAGGUGCGUGGAUGAUAGCAAACAAGCAGAGCCAUUUGGAGAGCACUGGGGGUGGUAGGCAGCUGGC